CUACGGGUGGCUGCAGUGGGGAAUAUUGCACAAUGGGCGCAAGCCUGAUGCAGCCAUGCCGCGUGUAUGAAGAAGGCCUUCGGGUUGUAAAGUACUUUCAGCGGGGAGGAAGGGAGUAAAGUUAAUACCUUUGCUCAUUGACGUUACCCGCAGAAGAAGCACCGGCAACUCCGUGGCCGGCAGCCGCGGUAAUACGGAGGGUGCAAGCGUUAAUCGGAAUUACUGGGCGUAAAGCGCACGCAGGCGGUUUGUUAAGUCAGAUGUGAAAUCCCCGGGCUCAACCUGGGAACUGCAUCUGAUACUGGCAAGCUUGAGUCUCGUAGAGGGGGGUAGAAUUCCAGGUGUAGCGGUGAAAUGCGUAGAGAUCUGGAUGAAUACCGGUGGCGAAGGCGGCCCCCUGGACGAAGACUGACGCUCAGGUGCGAAAGCGUGGGGAGCAAACAGGAUUAGAUACCCCAGUAGUC
rnacentral:rRNA from 1 species